GGAGUGGAGCCUGCGGCUUAAUUUGACUCAACACGGGAAACCUCACCCGGCCCGGACACGGACAGGAUUGACAGAUUGAUAGCUCUUUCUCGAUUCCGUGGGUGGUGGUGCAUGGCCGUUCUUAGUUGGUGGAGCGAUUUGUCUGGUUAAUUCCGAUAACGAACGAGACUCUGGCAUGCUAACUAGUUACGCGACCCCCGAGCGGUCGGCGUCCCCCAACUUCUUAGAGGGACAAGUGGCGUUCAGCCACCCGAGAUUGAGCAAUAACAGGUCUGUGAUGCCCUUAGAUGUCCGGGGCUGCACGCGCGCUACACUGACUGGCUCAGCGUGUGCCUACCCUACGCCGGCAGGCGCGGGUAACCCGUUGAACCCCAUUCGUGAUGGGCAUCGGGGAUUGCAAUUAUUCCCCAUGAACGAGGAAUUCC
rnacentral:ncRNA from 1 species